rnacentral:precursor_RNA from 8 species
GAUGAUGGUUUUCUCCUGUUCACCUGGCUCAAGUUCUGUGAUACACUCAGACUUUGAAUCAGUGGUAGUCAGUGCAUGACAGAACUUUGGCCCGGACGGACCCAAAGCGAGAGCCAACA